rnacentral:rRNA from 1 species
UACGUAGGGUCCGAGCGUUGUCCGGAAUUAUUGGGCGUAAAGAGCUCGUAGGCGGUUUGUCGCGUCUGCUGUGAAAUCCCGAGGCUCAACUCCGGAUCUGCGGUGGGUACGGGCAGACUAGAGUGAUGUAGGGGAGACUGGAAUUCCUGGUGUAGCGGUGAAAUGCGCAGAUAUCAGGAGGAACACCGAUGGCGAAGGCAGGUCUCUGGGCAUUAACUGACGCUGAGGAGCGAAAGCGUGGGGAGCAAACAGG